CCUUCGAUAGCUCAGUUGGUAGAGCGGUGGACUGUAGUUGGUUGGUUCUCGGAGACAUCCAUAGGUCGCUGGUUCGAAUCCGGCUCGAAGGA
rnacentral:ncRNA from 13 species